rnacentral:lncRNA from 1 species
AUGGGAGAGGGGAGGAAGGGGAGGGGAGGCUGGUACUGAGUAAGGGAAGGGGCAGGCAGGCUGGUGUAGUGAGAAGGGAAGCUACCCGAAGGUGGGUGAGACUAGAGCUCAGUGGUGCUUUUGUUUUCUUGAGACAGGGUCUCACUAGGUAGCACUGAGUGGCCUGGAACUUGCUUUGGAGACCAGGCUAGCCUCAAACCCAGUAGAUCUGACGGCUGAGAUUAAGGCUGUAUGGCACUACUCGUGACCCCUUUGGCCACCUUUGUCUCAGGGGCCAGCAGUUGCCCAUGGUAGAUGCACGUUAAGUUGUAGAUAAUCUUUAACUCCUGCCCUGUGACUUCUCGAGGUGUAGUGUUAUUAGUCCCUCUGUAGAUGAGCAAGCACUGUCAGGGAAGAAGGGAAGCGCAGUGUCGAGAGACAGUGAGCCAGGGCAGCCUCAGCUUCCACCCCCACUGCCAUCUCUGCUCACAGUGGGAGCCAGCUUGCCAGACACCACAGCCUACAGCACGAGCCCACUCUGCCCCUGGCUCUGGGACCAGUAGCCGCCCGGGAUCCAUCCGAAGGAAACUGCAGCCGUCA